rnacentral:rRNA from 1 species
CCCUUAGAUGUUCUGGGCCGCACGCGCGCUACACUGAUGAAUUCAACGAGCACUAACCUGUGCCGAAAGGUUCGGGUAAUCUUGUGAAAUUUCAUCGUGAUGGGGAUUGAUUAUUGCAAUUUUUAAUCAUAAACGAGGAAUGCCUAGUAAGCGUGAGUCAUCAGCUCACGUUGAUUACGUCCCUGCCCUUUGUACACACCGCCCGUCGCUCCUACCGAUUGAAUGUGCCAGUGAAAAGUUCGGAUUGGAGAUAGGAGACGGUAACGUAUCCUAUUUCCGAGAAAAUCUUUAAACUUUCCCAUUUAGAGGAAGGAGAAGUCGUAACA